CGCCGUGGGCGCCCGCGGUGGCGGCGUCGAGGGCGUCGCGGUCGGUCAUGUCGCCGACGACGAGUUCGGCGCCCGCCGCGGCGA
rnacentral:tRNA from 1 species